rnacentral:rRNA from 1 species
GGGGGGGGGGGGGGGGGGGGUGGGGGGGGGGGGGGGGGGGGGGGGGGCCGUGCGUGUGUGGGGUGCUCGGGUGGCGAACGGGUGAGUGGGACGGGCGUAACCUGCCCUUGACUUUGGGAUAACUUCAGGACACUGGGGCUAAUACCGGAUAGGAGCUCAUGCUGCAUGGUGGGGGUUGGACAGUUUCGGCGGUUGGGGCUGGACUCGCGGCUUAUCAGCUUGGUGGUGGGGUAGUGGCUUACCAAGGCUUUGACGGGUAGCCGGCCUGAGAGGGUGACCGGCCACAUUGGGACUGAGAUACGGCCCAGACUCCUACGGGAGGCAGCAGUGGGGAAUAUUGCACAAUGGGCGGAAGCCUGAUGCAGCAACGCCGCGUGCGGGAUGACGGCCUUCGGGUUGUAAACCGCUUUCGCCUGUGACGAAGCGUGAGUGACGGUAAUGGGUAAAGAAGCACCGGCUAACUACGUG